rnacentral:rRNA from 1 species
AAAGCAAUAAAAGGAUGCCUUGGGUAAAAAAGAGGAAGAAGGACGUAGCUGGCUGCGAUAAGUCUUGAUAAGAUGCCAACGAUCGCUUGGAGUCAAGAAUUUCCGAAUGGGGCAACCUAUUCUCUAUAGGAGAAUACAAAGUUGACAAUACUCGGUGAAGUGAAAUAUCUCAGUAACCGAAGGAAAAGAAAUCGUAAUGAGAUUCCCUUAGUAGUGACGAGCGAACAGGGAAGAGCCCAAACUCUAUUAGUGUAAGCUUCUAGGCGUUGCUAAUAAGAGGGUUGUAGGAUCGUCCAGGAAGAGCUAGAACUCUUUGGAUGGAGAGAUGUUGUAUUAGGAGAAACAUUUGGAUGAUGUACCAUAGAAGGUUAAAGUCCCGUAUCUGAAAAUAUGACACCACAUCGUGACGACACCUGAGUAAUAUCAGACACGAGAAAUCUGGUAUGAAUCUGCCCAGACCACUGGGUAAGGCUAAAUACUUUUUUACACCGACAGCGAACAGUACCGUGAGGGAACGGUGAAAAGAACCCCUGGUAGGGGAGUGAAAUAGAACCUGAAAUUUAUUGCUUACAAUUGAGUGGGAGCCGCAAGGUGACCACGUACCUAUUGACGAAUGGGUCAGCGAGUUAUUAGUAGUAGCAAGGUUAAGCCAGUUAUAGGCGGAGCCGAAGGGAAACCGAGUCUGAAUAGGGCGCUUUAGUUAUUAUUAAUAGACCCGAAGCGGUAUGAGCUAGACAUGGGCAGGUUGAAGGCAUAGGAAACUAUGCUGGAGGACCGAACGGGUUGGUGCUGCAAAACCUUCCGAUGACCUGUGUUUAGGAGUGAAAAGCUCAUCGAAUACCGUGAUAGCUGGUUCUCUCCGAAAUGCAUUUAGGUGCAGCCUGCAUUUCAAGAUCUUGAAGAGGUAGAGCUCUGGAAAGGCUAGGGGUGUCGAGAGACAUUACCAAACCUUACUAAACUUCGAAUGCUUCAAGGAAUAUUGCAGAGUGGGACUACGGGAGCAAGUUUCGUAGUCAAAAGGAUAACAGUCCAGACUUCUGAUUAAGGUCCCUAAAGUAAUGCUAAGUGGAAAAAGAGGUGUCUUUGUUUAUACAUCCAGGAGGUUUGCCUAGAAGCAGCAAUCCUUUAAAGAAAGCGUAACAGCUCACUGGACUAACGAAGAUGCGCUGAAGAUGUAACGGGGCUAAGCAUUAUACCGAAAUCGAAGACCAUCGGUAGUAAUACCAUGGUGGUAGGAGAGUGUUCUUACAGGAUGAAGCUACAUCGUGAGGUGUGGUCGACUAGUAAGAAGUAAAAAUGCUGACAUGAGUAACGCUUAUUGAUGAAAAUUCAAUAUAUCGAAACCCUAAGGAUUCCUACGCAACGUUCAUCGUCGUAGGGUUAGUCGGGGCCUAAGGCUUAUCCAGAAGUGGAGAGUCGAUGGAUAACUGGUUAAUAUUCCAGUACUUAUAUAAAGAGUGAUGGAGUGACGCAUUGAGAUUUGUGAGAGCUCAUUAAGGAUUUGAGUCGAAAGAGUGAGGUUUUUGUAGCCUUGGGUUACAAAGGUAGUUGCAGGAAAAUCCACAACUAUUGAUACUGAGCUUGAUCGGAAUUUGAUUCCUCGGAAUUAGAAAUUCUCAUCGUUUUGGUGCCGAGAAAAACUUCUAAACUUAAUCUUUAUAUAACCCGUACUCAGAUCAGACACUUGUGGGGUGGUAGAGAAUACUAAGAUAAUCGAGAUAAUUAAUGGGUAAGGAACUUGGCAAAUUAGCGGACGUACUUUCGAAAUAAGUCCUGUCCUGAGUAAUCGGGAUCGCAGCGAAAGAGAUGGGGGGAACUGUUUAUCACAAACACAGCUCGCUGCUAACUCGUAAGAGGAUGUAUAGCGGGUGAUGCCUGUCCAAUGCCAGAAUGUUAUGCUCUCUUGUGCAAGCUCGAGGGUUAAGCACUGGUGAAUGACGGCCGUAACUAUGACGGUCCUAAGGUAGCGAAAUUCCUUGUCAGGUAAGUUCUGACGCGCAUGAAUGGCAUAAUCAUCCCCAUGCUGUCUUACCCUUAAACUCGGUGAAAUUACAUUCCCGGUAAAAAUGCCGGGUAGUCACAGUUAGACGGAAAGACCCUGUGAAGCUUUACUGUAGAUUGAUAUUGGAUUGUAGCAUGUCUUGCUCAGUAUAGGUGGGAGGCUUUGAUGUUUCAACUUCGGUUGGGGCGGAGCCAAAAGUGAGAUACCACCCAAGAUAUGUAGCAAUUCUAAUCCCUAGGUUGGGAGACAGUUUCAGUUGGACAGUUUACCUGGGGCGGGUGCCUCCUAAAAAGUAGCG